rnacentral:lncRNA from 1 species
AGCCAUCCAGCAAAAUGUCGGCGUCUUCUUCGGGCCAAGGGGUCCUUCAGCCAGCUCCAGUUGUGGUGGGAGAGCUGCAGACUGCUCACGGCCUGCCCGGCCCCUGUGUCGACGGCCCCUCCCUAACCAUCCGGGCAUUCUUUGGAGGCCAGGCCCCUGGUGCUCUCAGGGUUGUUUUAAGACUGCUGUGACAACCUGGAGAUCAUCACCAGCCUCCUGGGGUCCCAUCUGACCCCAGCUGUGAUGCCGUCUGCACGGCACCCUCCAUCAUCCCUAACGCAGACACCCCCAACUGAGCCUACAGACGAGGACACGCCUGACGCCGGCCCCAGGAGAACAUACUGACCUAAAAGAGGAGGCAGAAGUGGACGCUCUCGUCUCCUGCUGUGC